AUAAAAAACCAAUGCCCUUCGGGGCUCUCUGGUGAUUCAUAAUAACUUCUCGAAUCGCACGGCCUUGCGCCGGCGAUGGUUCAUUCAAAUUUCUGCCCUAUCAACUUUCGACGGCUGGGUCUUGGCCAGCCGUGGUGACAACGGGUAACGGAGGGUUAGGGCUCGACCCCGGAGAAGGAGCCUGAGAAACGGCUACUACAUCCAAGGAAGGCAGCAGGCGCGCAAAUUACCCAAUCCCGACACGGGGAGGUAGUGACAAUAAAUACUGAUACAGGGCUCUUUCGGGUCUUGUAAUUGGAAUGAGUACAAUUUAAAUCCCUUAACGAGGAACAAUUGGAGGGCAAGUCUGGUGCCAGCAGCCGCGGUAAUUCCAGCUCCAAUAGCGUAUAUUAAAGUUGUUGAGGUUAAAAAGCUCGUAGUUGAACCUUGGGCCUAGCCGGCCGGUCCGCCUCACCGCGUGCACUGGUCCGGAUGGGCCUUUCUUUCUGGGGAAUCCCAUGGCCUUCACUGGCUGUGG
rnacentral:rRNA from 1 species